rnacentral:rRNA from 1 species
CCUACGGGUGGCAGCAGUGAGGAAUAUUGGUCAAUGGGCGAGAGCCUGAACCAGCCAAGCAGCGUGAAGGAUGACUGCCCUACGGGUUGUAAACUUCUUUUAUAAAGGAAUAAAGCGAGGCACGUGUGCCGUAUUGUGUGUACUCUAUGAAUAAGCAUCGGCUAACUCCGUGCCAGCAGCCGCGGUAAUACGGAGGAUCCGAGCGUUAUCCGGAUUUCUUGGGUUUAAAGGGAGCGUAGACGGGUAGUUAAGUCAGUUGGGAAAGUUUGGGGCUCAACCCUAGAAUUGCAAUUGAAACUGGCAGACUUGAGUACAGUUGAGGUAGGCGGAAUUCGUGGUGUAGCGGUGAAAUGCUUAGAUAUCACGAAGAACUCCGAUUGCGAAGGCAGCUUACUAGACUGCAACUGACGUUGAUGCCCGAAAGUGUGGGUAUCAAACAGGAUUAGAUACCCUAGUAGUC